GUAAGAUACUUGAACUAGGCUGAAAUACUAUUAAUAACACCAAUAAUAUAGUGCUAUUAAGUUUUCCACUACUGGAUUAAAAGAUCUGCGGUUAGAAUGAUAUAAGCCUCCUAGGGUUGAGUGGGUAGUUGGUUGAAUAGUAUAAUCUAACGAGUAAAAAUAAUUAAAGGGUUUAAUCUAACGGUAGAAAACUUGAUAGCACUAAAUGCUUGAUACCAUCGAUAGCAUAGCAGCCGUACUCAAGAUAUUUAGUAUUAUUAAUAAAAUAUAUAUUAAAGUUGGCGCUCAAGCAGAUAGAGAUUUUUUUUUUAAUUUUCGGAUGGCACCAUAGGAUUCAUUAAGUAAUAUCCUACUCAGUAUGAUCCAUAAAUAUGAUAUUAUUUAAAAAAAAUGAUAGAAUAUUUUGCAUGGAGCAUUAUGGUUGGAUGCAACUAGGGGUGUCAAAUUACACGCCAAAAACGAACGAGCUGGGCCAACUCGUGUACAGCUCAUUUAAGAAACAAGCUAAACAGGAGCUGGUUAAUUUGUUAAAGUAUCAAGUUAAAAAAUUUAGUUGGUGUUCGGCUUAUUAAUAAAUGAGCUAAACACGAGCUGGCUCACGAGUUGACCAACGAGCAAUAAAUUAAAUGAAUUAGAUUGCAUAUAUAUAAAACAUAAAUUUGUAAAAUCUUCCGCCAUUAGACUUUGAUUUAAUGGCUGAAACUUUACAUAAAUGAGUCUUUUUAUAAUUGAGUUCGGCUUUAUAUUUUUUUGGCUAAAAAUUAAAUAAUAAAAACAUAUAUUAUAUAUAUAAUUAUUUAUUUAUAUAUGUAAAUAUAAAUUAAAUAAAUUAUAUAAAUAUAAAAUAUAUGUAUUCGAGCAGUUAUCGAGCCGAACACGAACGAGCCGAA
rnacentral:lncRNA from 1 species